GCGAGUGAACCGGGAAGAGCUCAAAUUUGAAAUCUGGCAGUCUUCGAUUGUCCGAGUUGUAAUCUAUAGAAGCGUUUUCCGUGCUGAACUGUGUAUAAGUCCCUUGGAACAGGGUAUCAAAGAGGGUGACAAUCCCGUACUUUACACAAUCAUCAGUGCUCUGUGAUACGUUCUCUACGAGUCGAGUUGUUUGGGAAUGCAGCUCAAAAUGGGUGGUAAAUUCCAUCUAAAGCUAAAUAUUGGCGAGAGACCGAUAGCGAACAAGUACCGUGAGGGAAAGAUGAAAAGCACUUUGGAAAGAGAGUUAAACAGUACGUGAAAUUGUUGAAAGGGAAACGAUUGAAGUCAGUCGUGUUCAUUGGAUUCAGCCGGUCUUCGGUGUAUUUCCUUUGAACGGGUCAACAUCAGUUUUGUCCGGUGGAUAAAGGUAGUAGGAAGGUGGCUCUUUCGGGAGUGUUAUAGCCUAUUGCCACAUACACUGGGGGAGACUGAGGACUGCAGCUUGCCUUUAUGGCCGGGGUUCGCCCACGUUCAAGCUUAGGAUGUUGACAUAAUGGCUUUAAACGACCC
rnacentral:rRNA from 1 species